GAUGAACGCUGGCGGCGUGCCUAAUACAUGCAAGUCGAGCGAACAGACGAGGAGCUUGCUCCUCUGACGUUAGCGGCGGACGGGUGAGUAACACGUGGAUAACCUACCUAUAAGACUGGGAUAACUUCGGGAAACCGGAGCUAAUACCGGAUAAUAUAUUGAACCGCAUGGUUCAAUAGUGAAAGACGGUUUUGCUGUCACUUAUAGAUGGAUCCGCGCCGCAUUAGCUAGUUGGUAAGGUAACGGCUUACCAAGGCAACGAUGCGUAGCCGACCUGAGAGGGUGAUCGGCCACACGGGAACUGAGACACGGUCCAGACUCCUACGGGAGGCAGCAGUAGGGAAUCUUCCGCAAUGGGCGAAAGCCUGACGGAGCAACGCCGCGUUAGUGAUGAAGGUCUUCGGAUCGUAAAACUCUGUUAUUAGGGAAGAACAAAUGUGUAAGUAACUAUGCACGUCUUGACGGUACCUAAUCAGAAAGCCACGGCUAACUACGUG
rnacentral:rRNA from 1 species